AUAACUAAGCGGAGGAAAAGAAACCAAACGGGAUUCCCCUAGUAACGGCGAGUGAACAGGGAACAGCCCAGCGCCAAGUCCUGACGCUCGACGCGAUCAGGAGAUGCGGCGUUUGUGUAUCGGUGCAUCGUGUGUUGCCGCGUGUCUCAAGUUCCUUUGACAGGGACUCCCAGAGUGGGUGCUAGGCCCAUAGAGGCUGCGCGUGCUGGCACACGCCGACCGGUGCAUUCACGAGUCAGGUUGCUUGAGAGUGCAGCCUAAAGCAGGUGGUAAACUCCAUCUAAGGCUAAAUAUCACAGCGAGACCGAUAGCAAACAAGUACUGUGAAGGAAAGUUGAAAAGAACUUUGAAGAGAGAGUUCAACAGGACGUGAAACCACUGACAGGCAAACGGGUGGAACCACGAAGUGGCCUGCAAGGCGAUUCAGUUACUACCGGUGGUCGGCGUUUGCGGCGUACGAGUUGCUUUCGGGCGGCUACGCUGUGAGCGCAGUAUGGCUGCCGGUGGUAAUGCAUUUUGUUCUUGCAGUGCGAAAGCCACGUCCGAUUAGGUGGCUGGAGCGGCCGUAGUGAGUGGCGCGUGGAAGGUGGCCGACGAGUCUUGCACUCGUCGGUGUUAUAGCCACGCGUCCGCGCCGCUGCCUAGCGUGCUGAUCGGUACAAGUUCUCCGCAAUGGAGUUUUGCCAGAAAUGGGUCGGCGCGGUGGUGGCGUCAAUGCGUGUGCAUCGGUGCGCGCUUUCGUAUCUUCGGGUGCGAUAAGACGUGCCGGUGUCGUGCGUGUUGGCACGCCACUGUGGACGGCUUGUGCAAACGGUGGCGCAAGUAGGUCGGUCUCCACCCGACCCGUCUUGAAACACGGACCAAGGAGCCUACCAUAUACGCGAGUCGCUCGGUCUUGAAUAGGCCCGGGAGGCGCAAUGAAAGUAACUGGCUACGAGGCCGUGAGCGAAAGUGAUCGGUCGCAGUAGCGGCCCACCGAUUUUCUCUAUUGGGGAUACGGUGGAGUCGGAGCGUAUACGGUGGUACCCGAAAGAUGGUGAACUAUGCCUGGGCAGGACGAAGCCAGAGGAAACUCUGGUGGAGGUUCGCAGCGAUUCUGACGUGCAAAUCGAUCGUCAGACCUGGGUAUAGGGGCGAAAGACUAAUCGAACCAUCUAGUAGCUGGUUCCCUCCGAAGUUUCCCUCAGGAUAGCAGGCGCUCACGUGAUCGCAGUCUCAUCCGGUAAAGCGAAUGAUUAGAGGUCUUGGGGCCGAAACGGCCUCAACCUAUUCUCAAACUUUAAAUGGGUGAGAUGCCUGACGUGCUUGAUUGACGCCAGGCAAUUGGAUGCGAGUGCCUAGUGGGCCAGCUUUGGUAAGCAGAACUGGCGCUGUGGGAUGAACCAAACGUCGAGUUAAGGCAUCAAAUGCGUACGCUCAUCAGACCCCAUAAAAGGUGUUGGUUGCUAUAGACAGCAGGACGGUGGCCAUGGAAGUCGGAACCCGCUAAGGAGUGUGUAACAACUCACCUGCCGAAGCAACUAGCCCUGAAAAUGGACGAUGCUGUAGCGUGGAGCCGAUACUCGACCGUAGUGUCGGUAUGUUGURAAAUACGAUGGCACUACGAGUAGGAGGGCCGUGGUGAUAGCGUUGAAGGUGUCGGACGUGAGUCCGCCUGGAGCUGUCACCAGUGCAGAUCUUGGUGGUAGUAGCAAAUACUCAAGUGAGAAUCUUGAGGACUAACGUGGAGAAGGGUUCCAUGUGAACAGCAAUUGAACAUGGGUCAGUCGGUCCUAAGGAGGCGGUGAAAACCGUUGCAACGGCCACAAUUUUAUUUCCUAACAAAAAUGAUUCUGUGGACGCGAAUCUCCGAAAGGGCGUCGGGUUAAUAUUCCCGAACUCAGACACGGGGGGAGUUCUUUCGGGAACGAAUGCGGCAACGCACUCAAACUCGGAGACGUCGGCGGUAGCCCUGGGAAGAGUUGUCUUUUCUCUAUAAGGUGUCGACUCCAUGAAAACAGCUUGCCUGGAGAUAUGGAUGACGACACCGAAGAGCCGCGCGGUUCUUGCGUGGUCCGGUGCGCUAUUGUCGGCCCUUGAAAAUCCGAGAGCGAAUGUUUACUCCCGUCCUGAGCCGUACCGAUAUCCGCAGCAGGUCUCCAAGGUUAACAGCCUCUAGUUUCUAGAAUAAUGUAGGUAAGGGAAGUCGGCAAAACCGAUCCGUAACUUCGGGACAAGGAUUGGCUCUGAAGGAUGGGCCAGUCGGGCUGUGGCUCGAUGCGUACGUCGCGUCUACAGGGACUGAGUGAUUCCUCUYGGGGAGUCGCUUGGGCCCACGUGGGCGCUUGUGCGUGGACGGCCAUGGCUACGCUCUGGCGCCCUGUGCGCUGGAUGUCGUUUCGCGGCUGGCAUGUAACAUCUGACUCAGAACUGGCACGGACUCCGGGAAUCCGACUGUCUAAUUAAAACAAAGCAUUGCGAUGGCCGGUGAUCGGUGUUGACGCAAUGUGAUUUCUGCCCA
rnacentral:rRNA from 1 species